rnacentral:rRNA from 1 species
UACAGAGGUCCCAAGCGUUGUUCGGAUUCACUGGGCGUAAAGGGUGCGUAGGCGGUUCAGUUAGUCGGGUGUGAAAUCUCCGGGCUCAACCCGGAGGGGCCACCCGAUACUGCUGUGACUCGAGUCCGGUAGGGGAGUGGGGAAUUCCUGGUGUAGCGGUGAAAUGCGCAGAUAUCAGGAGGAACACCGGUGGCGAAGGCGCCACUCUGGGCCGGUACUGACGCUGAGGAGCGAAAGCGUGGGUAGCAAACAGG